rnacentral:rRNA from 1 species
UGCAAGUCGACGAUGAACCGCUUCGGUGGUGGAUUAGUGGCGAACGGGUGAGUAACACGUGGGCAAUCUGCCCUUCACUCUGGGACAAGCCCUGGAAACGGGGUCUAAUACCGGAUAACACUCUGUCCCGCAUGGGACGGGGUUGAAAGCUCCGGCGGUGAAGGAUGAGCCCGCGGCCUAUCAGCUUGUUGGUGGGGUAAUGGCCUACCAAGGCGACGACGGGUAGCCGGCCUGAGAGGGCGACCGGCCACACUGGGACUGAGACACGGCCCAGACUCCUACGGGAGGCAGCAGUGGGGAAUAUUGCACAAUGGGCGAAAGCCUGAUGCAGCGACGCCGCGUGAGGGAUGACGGCCUUCGGGUUGUAAACCUCUUUCAGCAGGGAAGAAGCGAAAGUGACGGUACCUGCAGAAGAAGCGCCGGCUAACUACGUGCCAGCAGCCGCGGUAAUACGUAGGGCGCAAGCGUUGUCCGGAAUUAUUGGGCGUAAAGAGCUCGUAGGCGGCUUGUCACGUCGGAUGUGAAAGCCCGGGGCUUAACCCCGGGUCUGCAUUCGAUACGGGCUAGCUAGAGUGUGGUAGGGGAGAUCGGAAUUCCUGGUGUAGCGGUGAAAUGCGCAGAUAUCAGGAGGAACACCGGUGGCGAAGGCGGAUCUCUGGG